rnacentral:rRNA from 1 species
CCCUUAGAUGCUCUGGGCCGCACGCGCGCUACACUGGUCGAUGCAACGAGUUUCUUUCCUUGGCCGACAGGCCUGGGCAAUCUUUGAACAUCGAUCGUGAUCGGGAUAGAUUCUUGUAAUUUUUGAUCUUAAACGAGGAAUUCCUAGUAGACGUAGUUCAUCAGACUGCAUCGAUUACGUCCCUGCCCUUUGUACACACCGCCCGUCGCUCCUACCGAUUGAAUGCUCAGGUGAGCCAUUCGGACCUUCAUCAUGCCGGUUUCCGGUUUUGAUGAGGGAAAGUCUUGCGAACCUUAUCAUUUAGAGGAAGGAGAANUCGUAACA